UACGUAGGGGGCAAGCGUUGUCCGGAUUUAUUGGGCGUAGAGAGCGUGUAGGCGGCUGGGUAGGUCCGCUGUGAAAACUCGAGGCUUAACCUCGAGACGUCGGUGGAAACCAUCCAGCUAGAGUCCGGAAGAGGAGAGUGGAAUUCCUGGUGUAGCGGUGAAAUGCGCAGAUAUCAGGAAGAACACCCGUGGCGAAAGCGGCUCUCUGGGACGGUACUGACGCUGAGACGCGAAAGCGUGGGGAGCGAACAGG
rnacentral:rRNA from 1 species